UAGGGAAUCUUCGGCAAUGGACGGAAGUCUGACCGAGCAACGCCGCGUGAGUGAAGAAGGUUUUCGGAUCGUAAAGCUCUGUUGUUAGAGAAGAACGUUGGUAGGAGUGGAAAAUCUACCAAGUGACGGUAACUAACCAGAAAGGGACGGCUAACUACGUGCCAGCAGCCGCGGUAAUACGUAGGUCCCGAGCGUUGUCCGGAUUUAUUGGGCGUAAAGCGAGCGCAGGCGGUUCUUUAAGUCUGAAGUUAAAGGCAGUGGCUUAACCAUUGUACGCUUUGGAAACUGGAGGGCUUGAGUGCAGAGGGGGAGAGUGGAAUUCCAUGUGUAGCGGUGAAAUGCGUAGAUAUAUGGAGGAACACCGGUGGCGAAAGCGGCUCUCUGGUCUGUAACUGACGCGGAGGCUCGAAAGCGUGGGGAGCAAACAGG
rnacentral:rRNA from 1 species